rnacentral:rRNA from 1 species
UACAGAGGUCUCAAGCGUUGUUCGGAUUCAUUGGGCGUAAAGGGUGCGUAGGCGGCGCGGUAAGUCGGGGUGUGAAAUCUCGGAGCUUAACUCCGAAACUGCAUUCGAUACUGUCGUGCUAGAGUACUGGAGAGGAAACUGGAAUUUACGGUGUAGCAGUGAAAUGCGUAGAGAUCGUAAGGAAGACCAGUGGCGAAGGCGAGUUUCUGGACAGUUACUGACGCUGAGGCACGAAGGCCAGGGGAGCAAACGGG